rnacentral:rRNA from 1 species
UACAGAGGUCUCAAGCGUUGUUCGGAUUCAUUGGGCGUAAAGGGUGCGUAGGCGGCGCGGUAAGUCGGGUGUGAAAUCUCGGAGCUUAACUCCGAAACUGCAUUCGAUACUGCCGUGCUUGAGGACUGGAGAGGAGACUGGAAUUUACGGUGUAGCGGUGAAAUGCGUAGAUAUCGAGAGGAACACCUGAGGUGAAGACGGGUUGCUGGGCCGACACUGACGCUGAGUGCGCGAAAGCCAGGGGAGCAAACGGG